rnacentral:rRNA from 1 species
GACGAACGCUGGCGGCGUGCCUAAUACAUGCAAGUCGAGCGAAUGGAUUGAGAGCUUGCUCUUAUGAAGUUAGCGGCGGACGGGUGAGUAACGCGUGGGUAACCUGCCCAUAGGACUGGGAUAACUCCGGGAAACCGGGGCUAAUACCGGAUAACAUUUUGAACCGCAUGGUUCGAAAUUGAAAGGCGGCUUCGGCUGUCACUUAUGGAUGGACCCGCGUCGCAUUAGCUAGUUGGUGAGGUAACGGCUCACCAAGGCAACGAUGCGUAGGCGACCUGAGAGGGGGAUCGGCCACACUGGGACUGAGACACGGCCCAGACUCCUACGGGAGGCAGCCGUAGGGAAUCUUCCGCAAUGGACGAAAGUCUGACGGAGCAACGCCGCGUGAGUGAUGAAGGCUUUCGGGUCGUAAAACUCUGUUGUUAGGGAAGAACAAGUGCUAGUUGAAUAAGCUGGCACCUUGACGGUACCUAACCAGAAAGCCACGGCUAACUACGUGCCAGCCGCCGCAGUAA